AGUGAACGCUGGCGGUAGGCCUAACACAUGCAAGUCGAACGGCAGCACAGGAAAGCUUGCUCUCUGGGUGGCGAGUGGCGGACGGGUGAGGAAUACAUCGGAAUCUACCUUUUCGUGGGGGAUAACGUAGGGAAACUUACGCUAAUACCGCAUACGACCUACGGGUGAAAGUGGGGGACCGCAAGGCCUCACGCGAUUAGAUGAGCCGGUGUCCGAUUAGCUAGUUGGCGGGGUAAUGGCCCACCAAGGCGAAGAUCGGUAGCGGGUCGGAGAGGAUGAUCAGCCACACUGGAACGGAGACACGGUCCAGACUCCUACGGGAGGCAGAGGUGGGGAAUAUUGGACAAUGGGCGCAAGCCUGAUCCAGCCAUACCGGGUGGGUGAAGAAGGCCUUCGGGUUGUAAAGCCCUUUUGUUGGGAAAGAAAUCCUAUCGGUUAAUAACCGGUGGGGAUGACGGUACCCAAAGAAUAAGCACCGGCUAACUUCGUGCCAGCAGCCGCAGUAAGAC
rnacentral:rRNA from 1 species